UUACAGAAUUUACUCACUAACAAGUUUUUCGUCGGAAAUAUAAAUGUUACCGAUGGAUUACGUUUUUGUCAAAAAUUAAAAUUAUACCUAAAAUAAAAUAUCUCAACCCUAACGAGGGGCUCAACCAAUUCACAUUUGAUGAUUUUCGAAAUCUUUCGCCUAUCGUCAUGCUGCCGUGCACGAGCUCCAGCACUAUCACGCCACCACACACGAGGUCCACACCGUCAUGCUGCCGUCGCACGAGCUCCAUCACUGUCACGCGGUCCUCGGGCAAGUUUCCCAAGCCUCCGUUGCACAUUGCGGCGUCGCCAUUGAGCAGUGACUGCCAUCACACACACCGCCGUGCCCACGCCAAUUGGUUAGUGCUCUUACAUCUUAUACCUAGUGACCACACUGUAUGUGUGUUGCCGUGUGUGUGUGUGAUCGUGAGAAAGGCGAGGUGCGUGGGGGAGAGAGUAAUUGAGCUUCAUGUUUUAUGCAACUUAGGAAAAUCCUAUUACAAACUGCUGCCUCUUUUUGGUGUUAAUUUUUUGAGUUUAACGCAAAUUCUAUUUAUAUUUCUUAAACACAUUUUGUAAUGGCUUCGAUCUCAUUGGAAUUUCAAAAUCCUCUACCAUAAAUCUUGUUUGGAAUCCUCAAUUUUCCAGCAUUGGAAGCUCAUUUGCAUUUUCCAUCUUACAAGACGAAAAUACAUUUAUUUUAAUUUUCUCCUGUUUUUCUUUUUGAAAUUUUCCUUUUGGCUUUAUAGAUCAGAAAUAUGAUGUACCUAGAUAUGGCUUCCUCUAUUCAAGGUGAUAAUAAAAAGACUCAGUGGGUGUUUGUUAUGGCUUUCAAAUUUUUUGUGUCGAUUUAGUGAACGCGUGGUGAUUGGUGAUUUUUUUUAAUUCAAAUUUGAGAUUUGGGAUUUUACUGUUGCUCAGUUUUGUGAUGAAUAUAUUGGUAUUUGUCUGAGAUUUAGAUAACAUUCGUAUGUGAUUUGUUGCUUACUUGAGACUAUGAUGAAUUCUUAUGGUGGUCUUCUACAUUUUUGGGGAUUUUUCAUGCCAUGUUUUCCACUACCCACUAAUUGAUUGAUGAAACGCAGAGGGACUUUAGUUGAAAUUGUAUUUUUGGGUAUGCGUGGGUUGGGGAUUUGGAUGAUGCAAAUGAGUAGUUUGAAAUAAUACAAAGGUUGGAAUGUUUAUAUGAUUUUUCUCCAUAUUUCAUUCAGUAGACUAGUAAUGUGACAACGCUCAAGAAAUGUAUUUUUAAUUCACAACAACUUUUUAAGAAUUAAAAACCAAAAUAAAUUGAAAUGGAAAACUCAAAACAAAAAUUGAUUUUAAUUUUUAAAAAUUUCAAAAUUAAAAACAUAAAACCACCCCCAAUAAGACCUUACAUCUUAUUCAAUGUAUUGUCUAAAGCCUAGCUUGUUUUGUUGAUGUCCGACAUACAUACGCUGUGUUCUAGAUUACGAGAUUUUUAAAUGUCAAUGGUGAUGGCUAUCUCUAUCAGAUUUAUAGAAUGCAGAAAAAACUAUUAACUUGAAGUGGACCUCUCAACAUACAAGCCGUGAGAUAAUCAAAUAAUUUUCUGUGAAUGAGUUACACAACUGGCCUUAAUAUUGAAUGGCCUCAACUGGACUAACUCAUGAUGGAUUAUGCCAAUUCGUUAGCCUGAUUUUUUUUUAUUUACUUAUAUGUUGGCCUACUUUUUAUAAUUGGUAAAAUUACAAUAUAUUUUAUUUAUUACUACAUAUGUUGCCAUUGUCCAUUUUAAAGUUAAUAUUUUAUGUACAUUGAGUUUUAUUUUUAAUUUCUAACACUUGUUUAUUGUUACAAUUGAUGCACCUUAUUUUAUUUUUAUUAUUACAUUAUAUUUUUUUAUUUUAUAGUACAAAUGGAAACAUAUAUUUUUAUUUUACUUUACAGUGGUUGAAUUUUUUAAGGUUAACUUGCUAUAUAAAGGUGAAUUUAUUUUGAUAAUUUUUUAUAUUUUACAAAAGUGAGUAGGCAAUACAUCAAUCCGUUGGGCUUGUGGCUUGCCAAGAGUUGUAUAGGACUAGAAAAUUUAUAGACUAUUAUUAAAGAGUGGUGCUAGGUGCACCCAGCAUUUAAUUAAAAUACCAAAACUGCCCCUACACUUUUUUUGCAUUUGUGAUGGGUGUGUGUGAGGGUGAUCCGUAAGAUUGAUACGGAUCAACUUGAUCCGUAAGUCUUUUACGGAACAAUACGGAUCAACAUGAUCCGUAAAAGUCUUACGGAUCAAGUUGAUCCGUAAAAAGCUUACGGAUCAUGUUGAUUCGUAUUGUUCUGUAAAAGACUUACAGAUCAAGUUGAUCCGUAAGGUUUCUACGGAUCAAGUUGAUCCGUAAGGCUUUUACGGAUCAACUUAAAUGGCUUACGGAUCAAGGAUAUUUUCAUCAUUUUACCUUAAGUGCUGGAUGCACCAACAAUAAUGCUGGGUGCACCUAGCAACACCCAUUAUUAAAUUGCCUCAAUUCGGCCCAACCUAAAAAUAUGAUAACUCAUAAUAAGCAAAAUUAAAUGAGUGGAGAUAAUCCAGAUUAACAACUAUAAAUGUGGUCUCUUGCAUUAGAAAUGACUCGAGUAUUUCGUUAUAUAAAACACUAUUGACCAAUUAAGGCAAAGAAUAUUAUAAGGACAAGGAGUCUCCUAACAUACAUUCCAAUUAGAAUCCCUAAUAUAAUAUUCAUAAUUAAGCUUAUUUUUUAAAUUAUUAUAAGGACCAACAGUUAUAUGAAUAUUUUUUAAAUUAUUUUUUACAUUCCAUUUUUCUAAAAGUUAAAUUAUAUUUUUAUAUUAAAUAUUUUAAUUUAUAUUCUUAAUUAACGAAGGCAUUAUGACAACUAAUUUUGUGUGUGUGAAUUUAUAGAUACGUUACCCAAGCAUAUGCUAUCAGGUUCAAGUCAUAUGUUAAUAUUUAAAAUUAAGAUAUUAAGACGGUUAAGAAAGAAAGCAAUUACUACUAGGAAUUAAAAUAACUCAAAAUCAAGACAAGUAAAACUUGUGGACUGCAUGCAGGUUUUUUUUCGUAUAUAUAGAUUGCAUAUUAUUUAUGUACUUGUACACCAAAAGCAUAAUUAUCUAGACUUUAUAUUAUUAAAAAAAGUAAUAGUAUGCAAGGAAGAAUUUAAUUUUAAAUGAUUGGAAGAGAUAUUUUCCUGACAAGAUAAAAAAGAUUAAAUUAAAAAUAUUUUUUUGGCAAAAAUUUCUAAUCAUUUUAAAUUUUUUUCUUUAUUUCUUACUCUCAAGUUUAUAGGUGAGAUUGUGUUACGUGAUCGUUGUACAUUCCAUUGUUCAAGUUAGUUGUGGUUUUUUUAUUUUAGUUGUUCGAAAUUUUGUAUUCUAAAUGUGUUAAGUAUAUUUGUGAUUGUGGUUAUAUUAUUUACAUUCCAUGCUUUGUUCAUUUAGAAAGACAAAAACCAUAUGUAUGUGAUUUUUUUCACCUAAAACAUGAUCAUAAUUGUUGCGACUAAUAAUAGAGAUCACUUUAAGAUUAUGUAUGUGAUUCAUGAAUGUUCAUAUUUUUUCUUCUUAAAUAUACAAAAUAUGAACUAUAUUCUUUUGAAUCAUUGUUGGAUGUACGAUAGAUGUUAUAGUGGUAGAAGUUGUUUGAAAGAGUCUUUUGUUAAGGGGGUUGAAGAAUUUGUUUGCAAAGCUAGUCAACAAAAUUGUUAUCACACAAUGAUGGGGGAUCAUAUGUCCUUGUGUUAAAUGCGAUUGAACUAGAAUUUUGGAGAAUAGAGUUAAGAGGGUUCACCUAUACAAAGAUGGGUUCAAGCUUAAUUAUUGGAUUUGGACUGAUCAUGGGGAAGAGAUGCCACAUGUUGAUUUAAAUGAUGACAAUAGCUACAUGGAUACUUCAAGUAGUGCAUAAUAUGUGACUCAAGGUGAAUAAUUUACUAAGAGAUGGUGUGUGAUGCUCUCAGGAAACCUAGGACAUUUGAAGCUCCAAACUCAAAUAAUAUAGGAGAUACUCAAAGAUUUUACAAUUUAUUGGUGGAGGCGAAUGAGUCAUUGUACGAAGGAGCAUUAGACUCAAAAUUAUCAAUAUUCGAGAGACUUUUAGCUUGCAAGUCCAAUUGGAAUGUUCCCGACCAGUGCUUAGAGUUUAUUUCCAAAAUACUUUUGGAUGUAACACCUAUGAAAGAUUGUUUGUCAAAAAAAAAAAAAUUAUGAUGUGAAGAGGUUAGUAUCGAAGUUGGGAUUGGAGGCUAAAAGGAUUAACUGUUGUGUGGAUGGCUACAUGUUGUAUUAUAACAAUGAUGGAGCGUUAACUAAAUGCAAAUUUUGUAACAAGCCUAGGUAUCGUGCCUAGACUAUUGGAAGAAGCAAUAGAAAACCAAUUACAGUAAAGUCGAUGUUUUACUUGUCUAUAAUACCAAGGUUGCAGAGAAUAUUUGCAUCAAUGCAAACUGCAAGCCAAAUGACAUGACACUAUGAGAAUAGAAGAUCUUCGGGCAUGUUACGCCACCCCUCUAAUGGUGAAGCCGGGAAACACUUUGAUCAGGUACAUGCAAAUUUUGCUAUUGAUUCACGGAGUGUGCGACUCAGUUUAUGCAUAGAUGGAUUUAACCAAUAUAUUCAAGCAUCAUCUUCACCUUAUUCUUGUUGGUCAAUCAUAGUUACCCUACAAUCUUCCUCCAGAAAGGUGUAUGGCUAAACCUUAUAUGUUUGAGUUGUGUAGUACUAGGCCCAUAUAAUUCAACAGUUGGUAUUGAUGUUUAUUUACAACCUUUAAUUGAUGAUUUGAAGAAGUUGUGGAGUGGUGUUCUCACUUACGAUGUUUCAAGAAAGCAAAAUUUCAUGAUGAGGGAAACUUUGAUGUGGACUAUUAAUGAUUUUUCUGCUUAUGACAUGUUGUCUGGUUGGGGGACACAUGGUAGAUUGACAUGUUCAUAUUGCAUGGAGGACAUAAAGGCCUUCUAGUUAACAAAUAGGAGAAAAACUUCUUGGUUUGACUGUUAUCGUAGGCUCUUACCUAGUGAUCAUGCAUUUAAGAGGACCAAAAAUGCCUUCAAAAAAGGGUAAGUAGAAAGGGAUGAGCCACUGCGUAUGUUGACACCUACACAAGUUUGGCAUAGGGUUUGGGAUUUGCCAAAAGUCAUAGAAAUUGGUCUGCCACCACCAAUAGUAUACGGAUAUGGGGAGUGGCAUCAUUGGACAAAAAAAAGUAUCUUUUGGGAUCUUCCAUAUUGGAAAGAUAAUUUGUUGCGACACAAUCUUGAUGUUAUGCACAUAGAGAAAAAUUUCUUUGACAACAUAUUCAACAUUAUGAUGAAUGUCAGUGGUAAGACAAAAGACAAUGAGAAGGCUAGGAUGGACUUAACUUUGUAUUGUAGGCGGAAAGACUUGGAGUUGAAGUUAGGGGCUAAUGGAAAGUUGUUAAAGUCAAAAACAAAUUACACUCUAACUGCAGACCAAACAAAGUUAGUCUGUCAAUGGAUAAAAGAACUAAGAAUGCUAGAUGGUUAUUCUUCCAACUUGGUGAGAUGUGCCAAUGUUGAUAAGGGAACCAUGCAUGGAAUGAAAAGUCAUGAUUGUCAUAUAUUCAUAGAGUGUUUACUUCCUAUUGCUUUUAGCUCAUUGCCGCCACAUGUCUUAAAUCCACUUAAUGAAAUAAGUCAUUUCUUCAAAGAUUUGUGUUCUACAUCUUUGAUGAAGGAUGACUUGAGUAGAAUGGAACAAAAUAUUCAUUUAUUUUGUGCAAUUUGGAGGGAAUAUUCCCCUUUGGUUUUUUCGAUUCAAUGGAACAUCUACCUAUUCAUCUGGCAUAUGAAGCUAGACUUGGUGGACUAAUCCAAUAUAGAUGGAUGUAUCCAUUUGAAAGGUUCAUGAUCAAUCCUAAACAAGCAAGGAAAAAUAAGGCUAGGAUUGAAGGAUCCAUUUGCACGUCUUACAUAUAUCGUGAGACAACUCAUUUUUGUUCUCAUUAUUUCAACAACUUUAUGAAAUUGAAACUAAAAGGUGUCCACCAAUUUUCUCAUUUUUGUUAGACAACUCAUUUUUGUUCUCAUUUUUGUCGCCACACAAUAUUAAGAAUCAAAUUGCAAUUGAAACUGAUAGGCGUCCACCAAUGUAUUAGUGUUUGACCAGCAAGGUCGUCCUUUUAGGAAGGAGUUCAUUCACUGGUUAACUGAUGAAGAGAAAGACCCAGUCCAUGUUCAUGUGUUGAUUAAUUGUGUUGAAGUUAAGCUAUACCUUGAAUAUGUCAUCAGGUAGUGCUGACCCUCCCUGACCUUCAUCACAUGACUCCAGUGGGAAAAGGACAAAUGGGAAGAAAAAAUGAUAUGUGGUUAAACUACUACCACCUCAAGAUAGUUUGCCACCAUCUACCUCAUCCCCGUCUACUGUAUCUAUACCAGUUAGGCCUUCCAAUGUUCCACCUACACCAUCUCCACCUCUGACUAAUGUUAGACCAUCUUCAUCUCAUCUUGAUGCAUGUGGACUAUCCCCGAUACCUACAUCCACACCAUCCUCAUCCCUGAUUGUAGCCAACAUGCCUAUUAAUGAAGACGUUUCAAAUUUGGCCAUGGAAGACACCCCUAAUGAUCGUCCUAUGAUUACACUUAUCAAUGGAGUGCAAGUAUUGCAAAAUUUACAUUAAUGUUCAUUAUAUAUGAUACAUCAUUUGAUAUUUUACUUUUUCACAAAUUAUUUUUUAUAUUUGGGUUUCAUCCAACUAAGGUUGCGGCAAAGGCUGUCACAUUCUCCAUUAGACAACAAUUUGGUCACCCAUGGCCUACAUUGGGAGCAAUUCCAAAAGAUCAUCAAUAGCUUUUUUUUUAGCGUUUUAAGAGAAAAUUGGUUUGGAGACCCGAGGAAGAGAAUGAAAUUAAGAAAGCUUUUAACUCCAAAGCCUCUCAUAGACUUUCUAAGAUGUUUAGGGAUGCUCGAAAUAAAAAUAAAAGGCCAUAUUGGAUUGGAGAUCAUGUCUGGAACAAUUCGUUAUCACAUUGGAAUGCACUUGGAUAUCCUUCCAAGUAUGUAGAGGCAAAAAAAAAUUAGGCAUCUGAAAAGGGUGAGUGUAUGCACACAAGUGGUUCUAUCAGCUUGCAGGAUCACGACAUUUGCUUGUCAGAGGAGCUUGGUUGAUAUGCAUACGUAGAUGAGGUCUUUCAGCAAACACAUGAAGAAUUUGAGGCUAGACUGUCUCAAGUUAGGUCUGAUGUUGCAUCAAGUGUUGGUGAAUCACAACUCACUCCUUUAGACCCUGCUGAAAAACAAAAACUUAGGAGUCGGUGUUGGGUUGCAGCUAUAGACCAAAGCGUAAAGGAUGCCUUUACGGUACUCCAGAUCUUGCUCAUACAUAUAAAUUUGGAGAUGAGAACUUCAUGUAGCAUACACAAGGAUCUUCCCGUUGUGCUCAACAUGCCGCAAAGAUUAACCAAUCGACUUAGGAAGGAGCUUCGUCAAUCAAAGGAGGAGAUGCGUGUAUUUUAGUUAGUUGUCCUUCGAUUCCUACCUCCUGAAGUGUGGAACAUUAUUCAUCAACAUCAACAACCUCACCAACAUCAUUAGGACCAGUAGCAAUAACAAGACAAUGACCAACUAGAUGAUCAGCUACAAGACAUUGACCAACAGAGACACUCUCCCAAUGAAUAUUUUGAUUACUAACUUAGCAACACAAAAUUAUUAUUGACAUGUUACAUUGUGCUUUACUUUUAGAUUUAUUAACAAUUUAACAUAAUGAUCUAUUAUACUAUUCGUUUUCGAUUUA